CGCCGCGUGGAGGAUGAAGGCCUUCGGGACGUAAACUCCUUUCGAUCGGGACGAUUAUGACGGUACCGGAAGAAGAAGCCCCGGCUAACUUCGUGCCAGCAGCCGCGGUAAU
rnacentral:rRNA from 1 species